UACGUAGGGACCAAGCGUUGUUCGGAUUUACUGGGCGUAAAGGGCGCGUAGGCGGCGUGACAAGUCACUUGUGAAAUCUCCGGGCUUAACUCGGAGCGGCCAAGUGAUACUGUCGUGCUAGAGUGCGGAAGGGGCUACUGGAAUUCUCGGUGUAGCGGUGAAAUGCGUAGAUAUCGAGAGGAACACCUGCGGCGAAGGCGGGUAGCUGGGCCGACACUGACGCUGAGGCGCGAAAGCUAGGGGAGCGAACGGG
rnacentral:rRNA from 1 species